rnacentral:rRNA from 1 species
UACGGAGGAUGCAAGCGUUAUCCGGAAUGAUUGGGCGUAAAGCGUCCGCAGGUGGCUGUGUAAGUCUGCUGUCAAAGAGCAAAGCUCAACUUUGUAAAGGCAGUGGAAACUACACGGCUAGAGUGCGUUCGGGGCAGAGGGCAUUCCUGGUGUAGCGGUGAAAUGCGUAGAGAUCAGGAAGAACACCGGUGGCGAAGGCGCUCUGCUAGGCCGCAACUGACACUGAGGGACGAAAGCUAGGGGAGCGAAUGGG